UACGUAGGGUGCAAGCGUUGUCCGGAAUUAUUGGGCGUAAAGAGCUCGUAGGCGGUCUGUCGCGUCGGAUGUGAAAACCCGGGGCUUAACCCCGGGCCUGCAUUCGAUACGGGCAGACUCGAGUGUGGUAGGGGAGACUGGAACUCCUGGUGUAGCGGUGAAAUGCGCAGAUAUCAGGAAGAACACCGGUGGCGAAGGCGGGUCUCUGGGCCACUACUGACGCUGAGGAGCGAAAGCGUGGGGAGCGAACAGG
rnacentral:rRNA from 1 species